UCAUCAGUGAAGACUAGGAGUUCAAGCUUCCUGGAGUGGGUGAGGUUCCUCAUUUUCUCUCUCUGUUUCCUUUUCUAACUCAGAUUCUUCAGAUUUCCAGACAACUGUUUUCUGCCAAAAAGUUGCACAAACAAAACAUUACCUCAAUACACAUAAUGGCAAGGAAAUCUUUUGAAGAAAAAAUUGCAAAUGUUUUGGCAUACAAAAGGAGUAGCACGUAUCCUGAAGGAAUGACUAAAGCAGGCAGACUGAACCUGCGUCGAUAUGCUGUCAACUUUUCAU